rnacentral:lncRNA from 1 species
CAGGCGGUUAUGGACGAGCCGGCGGGAAGCGAGGGGAGCGGCGGGCGCCCGCCGCUCUCGUACCUGCUGCGCGCCGGGGCGCUUGCUGCUUCCUCCUCGGCAUGCUGAGCUCUGGCGGCCGGCGGAGGGGGGGCUGCCUGGGCGCGGGGGUGGGAAGAGUUGCUUCAGCCCCAGAGAUCCGGUGAGCUGCUCCAGCCUCGGCUCGAGGGCUGGGUUGGGGAUAUAUUUUUUGUUGCUGUGCAUACACGAUGCCGAGGAGGAGGAGGCGGCGGCGGCGGAGGAGGAGGAGGCGGCACAGAGGAGAGGACAGCCCUGCUGCUGCUGCUGCUGCUGCUGCUGCUGCUGCUGCUGCUGCUGCUGGCAGAAGAGGGGGGAAGUUUGACAAAUCGCCCCGGAGGAAGGAGGAGGGGAAGCCCCCCGAAGAGGAGUCGGCGGAGCCUCAGCCGGCGCUCUCCACUCCCCGGCUCCCGGCUCGGCGCUGGAGCGGCGGCAACAGGCGAAGCUUGAAGGGAAACGAGAUGAUCGCAGUGUCACUCAAACUAGUCCGCAAAGAGCGAGAGGGGCUCCAUAGUCCCACCGCCUCCCACCCCGGACGGCACCUUAACUCUUUGCGCAUCGCGCCGCCGGACCGCCCGCCACCGGCCCGGCCACGGCGGCGGGGAAGCGCCCGCCCGGGGCGGGCGGCGGCACAGGGGUGCCCCCCCCCACCCCCCACCGCCGCACCCCCUCCGCCGCCCAACUUCGCCCGCCGCUGCUUUCCUCAGCAGCCCGCGGCGGCGGAGGGGCUCUGCCCGCCGGACCCCCGGGCACGGCACAGCACGGCAGCACAGCCCGCUCCGCUCCCAACCGGCAGCCCUGCCCUUUCCGCACCCGCGCACACCCAUUCCCCGCCGGAGCUCCCACUGAGCCAUCGCCUGCCGCCACGCCGGGGCACGGGACCCUCCCUCCCCGAAGCCUCUGCCCCCCCACCUUGCCACGGUGAGACGGGCCCGGACCCCGUCCCCGGAGCUUGAGCCCCGUCCCCGCGGAGCCCGGCCCCCCCCAUGGGGUGACAGCGGUAGCGGCCCGGGUCCCCGCCUCACCCCGCACCUCACGCCGCCGCCCGCCCCGGCCCCACUCACCGGCGCGCCGGGCAGCCGGCCGCUCGCCGGCACACAUCCAGCCCUUCGGCUCCCACCUGGCUGGCGCCGCGG